UACGUAGGGUGCGAGCGUUAAUCGGUAUUACUGGGCGUAAAGCGUGCGCAGGCGGCGCCGCAAGUCAGGCGUGAAAUCCCCGAGCUUAACUUGGGAAUGGCGCUUGAAACUACGGUGCUGGAGUGUGGCAGAGGGAGGUGGAAUUCCACGUGUAGCGGUGAAAUGCGUAGAGAUGUGGAGGAACACCGAUGGCGAAGGCAGCCUCCUGGGCCAACACUGACGCUCAUGCACGAAAGCGUGGGGAGCAAACAGG
rnacentral:rRNA from 1 species